GAGGCUGCGGUGUGGUUGGUGGUGAGAUGACGACCUUAGUGCUGGAUAACGGAGCUUACAACGCCAAAAUCGGUUACAGUCAUGAAAAUGUGUCGGUUAUUCCUAAUUGUCAGUUCCGGUCAAAAACAGCACGUCUUAAAACUUUUACUGCCAACCAGAUAGAUGAAAUAAAAGACCCUUCUGGACUCUUUUACAUCCUUCCUUUUCAAAAGGUAAUCCAAUUAAUUAUGUUUCAUUUCAAGCAUUGUAGACCUAAAUUUAAAGAUAAUUUUAAUUGUAUGUAAAAGGCUGUGUGUAACUUAAAUUUUAACUAUAACCUAAUUAAACCCAAAUUAAAAUUUAAUUGUUUGGGUGAAAAAACGACCAUGAUUUAGUUACUUAUUGUGAGUACUGAUUUUUACUUACAUUAAAUCUAAGUGGUAUGCACACAUUAAUUUAAGAAAAUAAGUAUAGGGAGGCAACUGUAUUUAUUGGUGUGUCUUUUGAACCUCUGACAUUUUAGUUAUUGCUUAUUUGUGAGUUUGUUCUUUAACUUUUUAAAGGAGAAAAACAUACUAACAUAAUUGGUUUGAAAUUCAUACAGCAGUAUACCUAUGUAGUAAACCUGCACGUUCUGCACAUGUAUC
rnacentral:sRNA from 1 species